GAUCAUGGCUCAGGAUGAACGCUAGCUACAGGCUUAACACAUGCAAGUCGAGGGGCAGCAUGUUGGUUGCUUGCAACCAAUGAUGGCGACCGGCGCACGGGUGAGUAACGCGUAUCCAACCUACCCUUGUCCAUCGGAUAACCCGUCGAAAGGCGGCCUAACACGAUAUGCGGUUCACAGCAGGCAUCUAACGUGAACGAAAUGUGAAGGAGAAGGAUGGGGAGUGCGU
rnacentral:rRNA from 1 species